AGGCUGAUAAUUCAAUGGUAGAAUGACGGUCUCCAAAACCGUUUAUCAGGGUUCGAGUCCUUGUCAGCCUG
rnacentral:tRNA from 1 species